UUUUUUCACAAUAAUACUAGUAUUUUUCGUUCAUUAUUGUUUAAAGUUAAUUUUAAAAAUUAUUUUUAACUUUUUAGUUCGAUGUGCUUUAAAAGCGUGUUUUUUAGUUUUUUUUAACUAUAUUUUUUUUUUUACUGUCGUAUAAACCAAUUUUAUAGACCAAGUUAUGACAGGAAAUUAGCAAUAAAAAUUUACGACGUACUAAAUGAGUCAUAACAAUAAUAAGUUCAAAUUGAGUUUUUGCUGUAUUAUUAAUAUCUAAGUCUUUCAGUUUGUAACCUGUGUUUACUGACACAAAUAGACAAGUACUACCGUUCCGAUUACUCGUCUAUUUGUAAAAUAAUUUUGUAUUUUCCAUGUUUUUUUGUUAUUUAUUGUAAUCAACUACCCCCACCCCCUCUCUUCACUUGGCCUACUAAAGUCAUAGUCGUUGUGUCCGGUACUACCGGCACCUAAGUAAAUACGUACGUGCACGUGUUUAUAGUGUUGUUAUACCGUUGAGUCGGAUGACUCCUGACCAAUGAGCUGGCGUGUUUUUUAAUACGCACAUUUUGUGUACGAUCGAUGAGUCGUUCCGUGGAAUUUUUACUGACUCGUGGCCAAUGAUAGAACGGUGGUUCAUUUUUUUGGUGUUGUUCUCCGGUCCGGCGCCAUUUCGAAUCUUUCAACUGUCAAUUGCUUAAAACAGUUAUCUCAUAUAACAUCUUUACAAGAACGCCUAACUUAGUCCGUGAUUACUUCGUUAAUCAAGCUGGAAGCUGUACCUCCAUGUAAUCGUUGAAUCUUUGGAUUGACUUGGUUGGAGUAUAUCGUUUCAUAAUUCUCUUAGUCCUGAUCUGUUCAACAAUAAAAAAGCAAUGAAUGCCGAGGCUCUCAUAACCUACCUAAGUUGAAGCUCUCACUCAAUUGUUCUUCAAAUGUUCAGUCUUCUCCGAAAUAUUUAAUGUUUUAAUUACCAGUUAUUUCGAUCACUCGACAGAGGGACUUAAAAAAUACAAUUGAUGUAUAAUCUUCACAGAUGUAUUAUAAAUCAGUUGUUUAACAAUUAUGACUUUGAAAAUAACUUCAGUUUGGGAAACUCAACCCACGAGAGCGUGUAAUCAAACCACAACGGAUCGUAAAGUGAUGGAAUAACUAGGGACUCCUUAUCAGGUUACCGUGUGGUGUCCAUUCGAAAACUGGAAGAACAGUGCAUGGACGCCUUGAGGAAUUCUUAUUUUACCUUCGGGGAGUUCUUUAGGAGUCAUUUGGAAUAUUUGGUGAUACUAGGAUAUUGAUAAGUUUAAGAAAUGUAUUGCAAUUUUAAAAUUUAAUUAGAUUCUAACUACUUAAUUUGUAGAAAUAAUUUAUUGUAAUUUAAUUUAAUUAUCAGUUGUAAAUAGUACAAAUUUAGCAAGUUGUUUAUUUGAAAUCACUAUGAGCUUAUAAGUUUUUUACUAUUAUACUUGUUUUGUUUCAUUUACAU